UACGUAGGGUGCGAGCGUUGUCCGGAAUUAUUGGGCGUAAAGAGCUUGUAGGCGGUCUGUCGCGUCUGCUGUGAAAAUCCGGGGCUCAACCCCGGACUUGCAGUGGGUACGGGCAGACUAGAGUGUGGUAGGGGAGACUGGAAUUCCUGGUGUAGCGGUGAAAUGCGCAGAUAUCAGGAGGAACACCGGUGGCGAAGGCGGCUUUCUGGACGACAACUGACGCUGAGACGCGAAAGCGUGGGGAGCAAACAGG
rnacentral:rRNA from 1 species